AAGUCGAUUUAAAUGGCUCAGAGCAGUAUGCGAGACAACAUCGUGCCGGGGGAGAGCACGUGAGUUCUGUGUGGUAGACGGCGACGGCGACGACGACGACGAUUCACACCUCGUCUUCUACACUAAAACUGGCCAGCUCACACAGGUGUGCCAGGGAUGGGAGUGGAAAAAAGAAAGGGAAGAAAAAGCUCUUGGAGAGUUAUGGCAGCAGUAGUAGGUAGUCCGGAAGAAGUUACGCUAGUGAGCUGUCGUUCCCAUGAUGUGCGAAGACAUAUCAUGCAAAUCCACAUCGUAUGCCUUCUUCACCUGAAAAUCAUUUUCCUUACUAUUCGAGAAUACGUCACACACAGCACGAGGCCCAACAGGAGGAGCAAGAGGAAGAAGCGAAAGCGAGAGAGUUAGAGAAUGUUUGUAUGUGUGUAGGGGCACAACGAAUAAUAAAACAACCCCCUACAAUGUAGUGUCAUUGCAACCUUAA